rnacentral:lncRNA from 1 species
ACGUUCUAGUGGGUGGGGAGACAGACGGUAAGCGUACGGAGAACUUGCAGCUGGGGUGGGUGUUACAGAGGAAAAGCAGGAGUGCGGUUUAACGGGGGCCGCUUUAGAUAGAAUAGCCUAAGAAGGCCCUUGUCCUGGCUGGAUGAGUGGGUGAAUUGAUGAAUGAGAACCUCCUUGCAGAGGCCUUCCCGGUCCGUACUUCUCAGACCGUAGACCUUGGAGCAGUUGUACCGGGAUAACUUGCAGUGCUUGUUAAACAUAUAGCUCCACCGAGAGCCCGGUAAAUCAGAAUCUCUGAGGGGUAGGACCCAGGUGUCUAGUUAUUAACAAACUCUCCAGAUGAUUCUUAGGUUUCAUUGAGAACUAGGGAUGCAGACCGGUGCAUACAAAUCGUCUGGGGACGUUAAAAUGCAGAAUCUGUUUUUUUAGACCUGGGGUUAGGCCUCAGAGUCUCCAUUUCUAAGAACCAUCCGGCUGAGGUAGACGUAGCCACUGUCCUUAACUCUCGUAAUGUCUCUUCCUCUUCCGUAACCUUCCUUGUCCCUUGAAUUAAACGUUUUUCAGCA